rnacentral:rRNA from 1 species
UACGGGGGGAGCAAGCGUUGUUCGGAUUUACUGGGCGUAAAGGGCGCGUAGGCGGCCACCGCAAGUCGACUGUGAAAUCUCCGGGCUAACUCGGAAAGGUCAGCCGAUACUGCGGGGCUAGAGUGCAGAAGGGGCAACUGGAAUUCUCGGUGUAGCGGUGAAAUGCGUAGAUAUCGAGAGGAACACCUGCGGCGAAGGCGGGUUGCUGGGCUGACACUGACGCUGAGGAGCGAAGCGUGGGUAGCAAACAGG